UCCCGAAUCCUUGCACUGAAUGGGACCAGCUAUGUAGACUCAUCAACUGUGCCAGUCCCUUGUUCCUGGUCUCUGGAGCUUUAAUUUGGGAAAGUGACCCAUUGGCUUCUAAGGACCACAGUGAGAGAGGGCAAGCUUGAAUGCCCUUCACGAUGGAGAGAUGUGGGCAGGCCAGACAGACAUCGGUUCCUCUACCAGUGCACAGGCAGCUGCAAUGCCUGUCUGUGGGAGAACAAAUCCAGACAAAGAGAUGGACGUGAGUAGAUGAGCUACCCUGAACAAGAGGCAAGUGGGCUGGAAGGUGAAAGAAGGGGAUGAGGGCUGCCAUGAGCGCUGAAUGAGACACGACAAGUCAAGUGUGGAGCCCAGGCUGGUCACAUAGAGGAGCUCAAAAUAUAUCAGCAGUCCUUUCCACUGGAGCCUCUGCCUCCUCGACCUGCCCCAGUACCUAUGAGGGUGGGAGCAGAGUCACUUUUCCUCUCUGGACCUCAGUUUACUCCUCUGAACGACAGCAGGGAUGAUGCCCUCUCAAGAUACCCUCUAACUCCAG